rnacentral:snRNA from 1 species
UACUUUGUGUAGUGGCAAUAUCAUAGCCUGUGAGGCUGAUCUGAGGCAUGAUCUUUGCUAGUUGAAAACUUUCCCUCAACAG